AAAUUGAAGAGUUUGAUCAUGGCUCAGAUUGAACGCUGGCGGCAGGCCUAACACAUGCAAGUCGAACGGUAACAGGAAACAGCUUGCUGUUUCGCUGACGAGUGGCGGACGGGUGAGUAAUGUCUGGGAAACUGCCUGAUGGAGGGGGAUAACUACUGGAAACGGUAGCUAAUACCGCAUAAUGUCGCAAGACUAAAGAGGGGGACCUUCGGGCCUCUUGCCAUC
rnacentral:rRNA from 1 species